AGGCAGCGCAUGGCGGACGCAGUGCUGUUCGAGUUUCUGCACACCGAGAUGGUGGCGGAGCUGUGGGCCCCGGACCCGGACCCUGGCUCGGGGGGAAAGAAGAAGAGCCUGUCAGUCCUGGAGGGCCUGGGCUUCCGUGUGGGCCAGGCUCUGGGUGAGAGGCUUUGCUGCACAUCCUCAUCCAGGCUGCCGCGGGAGACACUGGCCUUUAGGGAGGAGGUAGAUGCCCUCAGGUUCCUGUGCAAAGAUCUGUGGGCGGCCAUGUUCCAAAAGCACAUGGAUGGACUGCGCACCAACCACCAGGGGACCUAUGUUCUGCAGGACAACAGCUUCCCCCUCCUCAUCGCCAUGGGCUCGGGGCCACAGUAUCUAGAGGAAGCCCCCAAGUUCCUGGCCUUCACCUGCGGUCUUCUGUGCGGCGCCCUUCAUACACUGGGCUUCCAGAGCCUGGUCACCGCCUCCGUGGCUUCCCUGCCCGCCUGGCACUGCUGGGCCUAGAUGACUCCUCUUGACACCCUCCCCCACACACACACACAGCUGUCACCCCUCCCUGCCACUGUGAGGACCUGGGCUCAAUGAACAGGACAUGUCAGGAGCUCAGGCUAGCCCUCCCGCCUCUCCCCUGUGGUAAGUUCCAGGUGGUGAUCCAGAAGUCCUGAGGACCCCGGGCUUGUCCUGCCCCGACCUCAGCCUCAGAAUGUGGCCCCUGGCCCCGCUGCAGUGCUCACCUUUGUAGGAAGCCUUGAAGCUGAGCUUGCAGGCUCUGGAAGGUCACAUGUGCUUCAGACAAGGGAAUGAAAAGACUGCGAGGGUCCCGGGAGGUGGGGCUGUCCCAUGAGUUCAGAAUUGGCAUGGAGGGACAUUAUUAGGGUAUCACCCAGAUGGCAGAUGUUCAAUAAAGGGUCUUUAUGU